AUACAGACAUAAAUGAACUGUUGAAGAUAACAAUUAUUUCAUUAGUUUGUUUGUGUCGACUCAGGACCACAAAUAACUUGUUGUCGUGAAGACUAAUAAGUACACAUAACAACGAAAUCAACCAAAUAGAUAUAUUAACUGAGUUUUUGCACAAAGCUUUUAGGAGAAAGAUUUCAAAGAGAUACUCAAAAUGGCAUAUCAUGGAUACUCAUUCGAGGGACAAGUUGGCAAGUAUUUGAGAGAUAGAUACGGAAGUUCACAAGUCCAGUCACAAGUACGAUUGGGUAAUGGGCGAACUGCUGACUUUGUUGUGAAUGGUAACCAAGUAUGGGAAGCGAAGUCUUCGGCGAGGAUCGAUAAAGAAUAUGUCUUUCAGGUGGCAAGUACGGCUAGUGGAUACGGACAAGCUGUCCUUGCCAUUGGACGAGAUGCAAGCGUUUCCGACACCGUCCACCAGCAUGCACGUGCUAAUGGUGUGCAGAUCAUCAGAAUGCAGUUUAAUUAGCAAUCAUAAUCGAUGAGUUAACCAUGAUUAUGAAUUUCUGAAAAUCGAAGACAUAGAGCGACAUUUGGAGUAGGCCUUGUUAUCGUUUUAUAGCGCAUAGAGAACUCGGGUUGCUUAUUAUUAUCUUUAUGUUUAUUAUUAUCAUUAUUAUCAUUAUUAAUAUUAUUAUUAUUAUUAUUAUUAUUAUUAUUAUUAUUAUUAUUAUUAAUAUUAUUAUUAUCAUCAUUAUUAUUAUUAUUAUUAUUAUUAUUAUUAUUAUUACAUUUAUUACUAUUAUCAUUAUCGUUAUCAACAUUGUUGUACUGAUGAAAGUAAUCAGAUACAAAUCAUGAAUUCUAAAAUGAAACUACGUACUUUUUAAUCGUAAAAUGCAUUACAUUCUUAAAUCAGAUACAUUUUAAAAUAUAAUUUGUAAACGUCAUAUUGUCAAGUUGUACCGUAUGCGCUGAAUAAUCCUAUGCUUAUUAUUAUGAUAGCAACUGGAGAAUUUGAAUUGACUCAUUAUGCAUGGUGCAUUAUGCACGGUGGUAAUUAUCAUUUAUCUAAUAUCGUAGGUAUUGAUGAAUAAAUGUCCAUAGUUCAAGUUCAA